GGGAUAUGGAUGUCUAUGGGAACAUGUUUAAGAAGGAGCAUGGUCUUUUUGCUAAGGUCGAGGGGGGUGGUUAUAAAGAGUAUUAAAAUUGUAUUCUUCAAAGAACCCAAUAGGUAUCAAGAGCGAUUUGCUGGCAGAACUAAAUGCCAUUUGUAUUCAAGAGGAAAUUGUUUUGUUUUAGAAGUCAAGGGUAGAUUGGAUUAAUUUGGUGAUCAGAAUAGUUCUUUCUUUCUCAUGAAAACGAUAAUCUGAAUGAAAAGAAAUAAGAUUGAGAUGCUGAAGUCGAAUAUUGGGGAGUAGAUUAAUGAUUUAGAUGUGCUUCUGGAAAUGGCAAUGAAAAUUUUAAGUUCUUUUUACUGAAGAGUUUUCUAAUGGUCCUAUCUUCCUUAUUAGGGGUAAGUUUCCAAUGAUCCCUUCUGAAUAGAUGGUUUAUAUUACCAACAAUAUUCUCAAGAGAAGUUAAGACUACUUUGUUUGUGAUGAAGUCCUAGAAGGCACUGGGACAUGACAUUUUACUUGUGGGAUUUUAC
rnacentral:misc_RNA from 1 species